CGCGGGACCCCAGCCCAUCCCACAGACUCCCGCCUACCCACCUCAGGGUCCACAGUGAGCACAGUGGUUCCAGAAGUUUCCUCGGAGGCCGAGGAAACAUCUGUAUGGAUUGUUUCAUUACAACCCCACAAUGCUUGGACUUGAAUCACUUCCAGAUCCCACUGAUACCUGGGAAAUUAUAGAAACCAUAGGUAAAGGCACCUAUGGCAAGGUCUACAAGGUAACUAACAAGAGAGAUGGGAGCCUGGCUGCAGUAAAAAUUUUGGAUCCAAUCAGUGAUAUGGAUGAAGAGAUUGAAGCAGAAUACAACAUUUUGCAGUUUCUUCCGAAUCAUCCCAACGUUGUAAAGUUUUAUGGGAUGUUUUACAAAGCGGAUCACUGUGUGGGAGGACAA